rnacentral:rRNA from 1 species
GCCCACUGAAUAUCCUUAAAGGGCCGCAGUAUCCUGACUGUGCUAAGGUAGCGUAAUCAACUGUCCCCUAAAUAGUGACCCGUAUGAACGGUUAUACGAAGGAGAAACUGUCUUCUGGGUAAGCAUGUAAAUUAACUUUUUAGUUAAAAGGCUAAAAUAAACCAAUAAGACGAGAAGACCCUAUAGAGUUUGACACUGCUUCCUUAUAAAGACUAUACAUUUUGUUCUCACUCCUUUUUAAGUUAAUAAAGUGUUUGAUUGGGGCGAUAGAAAAAUACAUAAAACUUUUUUUUUAUUCGACUUUUUAUAAGAAGAUAACUUGAUCCGAUAUUAACGAUUAUAAGAAAAAAUUACCUUAGGGAUAACAGCGUAAUACUUAUUAAGAGUUCAUAUUGACGUAAGUGUUUGCGACCUCGAUGUUGGACUAAAAAUUCUUCGUAAUGCAGCAGUUAUGAAAGUGGGUCUGUUCGACCCUUAAAAUUUUACACGAUCUGAGUUCAGACCGGCGUGAGCCAGGUUG